rnacentral:tRNA from 1 species
UCCUGUGUGGCUCAGUUGGUAGAGCAUGGUGUUUGCAAUGCCAAAGUUGUGGGUUAGAUUCCCAUGGGAG